AGUGAACGCUGGCGGUAGGCCUAACACAUGCAAGUCGAACGGCAGCACAGUAAGAGCUUGCUCUUACGGGUGGCGAGUGGCGGACGGGUGAGGAAUACAUCGGAAUCUACUUUUUCGGGGGGGAUAACGUAGGGAAACUUACGCUAAUACCGCAUACGACAUACGGGUGAAAGCAGGGGAUCUUCGGACCUUGCGCGAUUGAAUGAGCCGAUGUCGGAUUAGCUAGUUGGCGGGGUAAAGGCCCACCAAGGCGACGAUCCGUAGCUGGUCUGAGAGGAUGAUCAGCCACACUGGAACUGAGACACGCUCCAGACUCCUACGGGAGGCAGCAGUGGGGAAUAUUGGACAAUGGGCGCAAGCCUGAUCCAGCCAUCCCGCGUGGGUGAAGAAGGCCUUCGGGUUGUAAAGCCCUUUUGUUGGGAAAGAAAAGCAGCAGGUUAAUACCCCGCUGUUCUGACGGUACCCAAAGAAUAAGCACCGGCUAACUUCGUG
rnacentral:rRNA from 1 species